rnacentral:pre_miRNA from 1 species
AGUGCAACUUCUGGGUAGUAUGGUAGCUGCAUGUUUCAUUUUUAAAGAAAUUGUCAAACUGUUUUCCACAAUAGCUGUACCAUUUUACAUUCCCACCAGCAAU